rnacentral:rRNA from 1 species
AUACGGAGGAUCCGAGCGUUAUCCGGAUUUACUGGGUUUAAAGGGUGCGCAGGCGGCCAUUUAAGUCAGCGGUUAAAUCGUGGGGCUCAACCCCAUUCUGCCGUUGAUACUGGGUGGCUUGAUUGCGGUCGAGGUUGGCGGAAUUCGUUGUGUAGCGGUGAAAUGCAUAGAUAUGACGAAGAACACCGAUUGCGUAGGCAGCUGACCAGACCGCAAAUGACGCUCAUGCACGAAAGUGCGGGGAUCGAACAGGAUUAGAUACCCUGGUAGUCCGCACAGUAAACGAUGAAUACUUGUUUUCGGCGAUAUAAUGUCGGAGGCAAAGCGAAAGCGAUAAGUAUUCCACCUGGGGAGUACGCCGGCAACGGUGAAACUCAAAGGAAUUGACGGGG